GGUUCCUUGGCGCAGUCGGUGAGCGCGCUCCCCUGUCACGGGAGAGGUCGCGGGUUCGAGUCCCGCAGGAACCG
rnacentral:tRNA from 1 species